rnacentral:lncRNA from 1 species
UUUUUUUUUUUUUUCCAAAAGAGCAAUUGCUGGCGUCCCUUUAAAGCUUGGCUGACUUCCAUCCCAGCAGCCAAUCCUCAGAGGCGGAGCUGGUGAGUUGCCUGGGCAACGGGCCUCUGGUUGGCCUGAGACGAUCAGCCGCCCACCGCCCACUUUCAAGCAGGGAGAAGUUUAACGCUUUGCUGCCUGCUCAGCUUGAUGCGUGUAUAGCCUGAACAAGGCCUCCUCCCCUCGCUCCUGAAGCCAGAAGUGGGUCUCAAAUGUCCGGAGCGGUUUAGUGGGGGAGAAGCCGGUACAGAGGCAAGGACGAUGUCUUUGCCUGGGAUAGACAGAGGUCAAGAGAUGGACACAGGAAGAAGAAGAAGUCAGGGUCCCGGGAAAGAUAGACACAAGCACAAAGUUAAGAUAGCCUCGUCCCCAGUGGCCUGCGAAAAGCUACUUAAUAACCUGGGGUUUCUACCCCAUUGGCUUUGCAGUGCUCAGUGGGCAGGUGGCAGCGCUGACGUGGGUUAAGGGGUUGAGGCCCAGGGGCAGAGCGACCCCUUGAAGCCUUACAGAGUCCCCCCCACUAUCCCGUGCUUGACUCAAGUCCUGGGAAAGGGACGAGCCUAUACAGAUGUAAUGGAGACACAGGUAUUUCCACAGGACAUGUCAUGGGGGCCUUUCUGUCUCUUUCUCCCCAAGCUGGGAGAAGUGGAGAGGCACGUGGUGUACGUGCGUGAGUGCGUGCGUGCAACAGGACACGUGUGCGUUUGUGUGUGGUGUGAAGGGCAAAGCGCCAUCGUUUUCCAUAGGGAAGUCGCCCUUGCUGGUGGUCCUAUCUCUGCUGCUCUUGCCGGAAGCCACAGGUUGGAGCCAGCUGGCCUGGUGGACUCCCAUCACCCCCCCCACAGCCACCAGCCAGAUCCCCUUAGCGCUUCUGGCUCCUCCCGCCGAGAGCGGAGGGAGGCAUGUGCCAGGCUAGAGGCAAGGCAAAAGGGAAGGCGGGCAACUCAGGCCUCAGGCCUUGGCCAUGGCCUCAGAAACCCCCUGGGCGGUGAGCUCAGCCAGCACGUUGUCUAGGUAGCUGGCGUCGGGGUAGCCGUGACCAGUGAGGUUGGAACCAAACUCCGUCUUGUGGUGAAUCUCGUUCCACACCACGGUGUCCGACUCGCCCGUGGUGUUGGAUGUUCCGAUAGUGAAGAUGAGUCUGCGUUCCCAGGCGGUGAUGAGCAAUCUCAGCACCUUGGGGGGGGGGGGAUAGGGGGAUGGGAGUGAAUGUAACGGGCAGUCUGAUCCUUAUGCCUGUUACAUUACACCAUCCAUUCACUACAUAAAAUUCUGUUUCUUUCGGAGCCUGUCAUUAGUACAGGCAGGGCUUAGACCCCACUCUUAGUACUAAAGAGUCAGUUUGUGAAUUAGUUCCCACGAUUAAAGAUCUGGAGAUUUCACAGGGCAAUCUAAGGUGCUGGCUUUUUGGUUAAAGAGGUAAAAUCAGGUGCCCUAAGUGUGAAGAUGAGGGUUUGAAGGGCUACUUGGGUUCAAAUCCUGCCUCUGCCACUUGGUUGCUGUGUGACUGUGCGUUAAGUUUCUUACCCUCUGUGAACCUUUGUUUAGCUAGUGAAUGAGAGGAAGCAGAUUCAGGGCCUGCUGCGGCCGGGCAGUGGUGGCACACGCCUUUAAUCCCAGCACUUGGGAGGCAGAGGCAAGUGGAUUUCUGAGUUCGAGGCCAGCCAGGCUUAUACAGAGAAACCCUGUCUCAGAAAACCAAAAUAAGUAAAUGAAUGAAUAAAUAAAUAAAUAGAUAAAUAAAUAAAUAAAUAAACAAACAAAUAAAAGAUAGCGGCUGGGG